rnacentral:piRNA from 1 species
UACAUAAUAUUUGGGCCUAUUCACACUAAG